CAAUUUAGUAUGUGUGAUAUU
rnacentral:miRNA from 19 species